rnacentral:rRNA from 1 species
GAGGAAACUCUGAUGCAGCGACGCCCGCGUGAGUGAUGAAGGCCUUCGGGUUGUAAAGCUCUGUUCUCAGGGAAAAAGCAAGUGAUGGUACCUGAGAAGAAAGGACCGGCUAACUUCGUGCCAGCAGCCGCGGUAAGACGAGGGGUCCAAGCGUUGUUCGGAAUUAUUGGGCGUAAAGCGGGUGUAGGCGGCCUUAUAAGUCAGAAGUGAAAGCCCUGGGCUUAACCCAGGAAGUGCUUUUGAUACUGUAAGGCUGAAUGUGGGAGAGGAUGGUGGAAUUCCUGGUGUAGUGGUGAAAUACGUAGAUAUCAGGAGGAACAUCGGUGGCGAAGGCGGCCAUCUGGCCCAACAUUAACGCUCAGACCCGAAAGCGUGAGGAUCAAACAGGAUUAGAUACCCUGGUAGUCCACGCCGUAAACGAUGGAUACUUGGUGUUGGAGGUAUUGACCCCUUCAGUGCCGAAGCUAACGCGUUAAGUAUCCCGCCUGGGGAGUACGGCCGC